UACGGGGGGGGCAAGCGUUGUUCGGAAUUACUGGGCGUAAAGGGCUUGUAGGUGGCCAACUAAGUCAGACGUGAAAUCCCCAGGCUUAACCUGGGAACUGCAUCCGAUACUGGAUGGCUUGAAUCCGGGAGAGGGAUGCAGAAUUCCAGGUGUAGCGGUGAAAUGCGUAGAUAUCUGGAGGAACACCGGUGGCGAAGGCGGCAUCCUGGACCAAUUCUGACACUGAGGAGCGAAAGCCAGGGGAGCAAACGGG
rnacentral:rRNA from 1 species